UCUGGGACAGUGCCACUGACUUUGAAAGAGAUUUCCAAUCCUGGUGGAAUUUAGUGAAUUUUACCUAUGACCCCAGCACAAACACAGCCACAGCAUUUGUGUUGACCAUAAGAAAUGCCUCGGUGCAUUUGAUAUUCCCUAUCAUUGCACUAGGAUUAAAUCAUGACGGAGCCAUUUUCUAUCCCUCUGAACAUAGAGAAUGGGCCCAUCAAAUUAAUGACAAAUGGCAAACUGUCAAUUUAGAGUCCUGUACUAUCCGAGAACAACUAGGGUUUAUCUGUGAAGGUAAUGCAAUUAUAGCUCAAGAUAUCUGUUUAGACACAGAACAAAAUAUCUGUCAUUUUGAUAUUCAUCCUAACGAGACUUCUAAAACAGUCCUUGUAUAUACAGGCAAUGGGUGUGCCUGCUUCAGAACCGCUUGUGAUACUGUAUUUAUAGAAAGUACAGUAGUAGAUACUAAAAAUCAUUCAAAUUAUUGUGCUUGCAACUUUACUAAAAUUGCAGGAUGUGAUUUUUCUUUUGUAGCUCCAGUUACUUCACAUGAACUUUUAGAAUCCAAUCUCACGUUGAUUCACAAGCUAUUGCCUACUCCCAUUGGGAUGAACCUUACUCUGGUAAAGCAAUUAUUACUUCAUCAAGAUCUAAUAGAGAUCCUAGGAAAAAUCAAGGGGAAUGGACAGAAAACUCUGGUAACUGUUCAUCAUGAUGUGCAAGAAAUACAUCGUGUUGUAGAAAGGGUGAAAAGUGAUGCCGAGCACAGGUGGUGGGAUACCCUUUUCGGGUGGUCACCCACCGCCACCGGUAUCCUGAACAAAUUGUGUCAUCCCAUUGUUGUCCUUCUGAUUUUAGUUAUGAUUGGUUUUGUUUUAUCAGUAAUCUUGCUUAUUGUAAAUUGGAGAAUGAUGAAACGAUUAACAAAAUUAACAUCUAUAAUUAAUGCACACCACUUGGCCGACAUCCUUUACACUAUAGAUGUUCCCAAAACUGUAGACACAAGAAGAUUAUAAGCUUAGAAGAUAUGUUUUAAUCAUUGUUUUAAUUAUUUUUUGUUUAUUGAUUAUAAAAUUGUACUCAGUAAUAUUGAUUAUACUAGGUUUAUUACUUUAUUGUUUAAUAUUGAUUAUACUGGUUUAUUAUUUGAUCAAUCUAUUGUUUAAUUGAUGAAUAUUGAUUAUUAUCUGAACAAUUUAUUGUUCAACUAUUAUUGAUUUAAUUAAUACUUAUUGUAUUUCUGCUUAUUAUUUAAUUACUAAUAUGUUGUGAUUGUUUUAGUUUUCCUGUUUUCUCUCUCCUUUCCUUUUUCUCUUCCCUUUUCCCCUGGGAUGUGCUGCCAACACUUGACGAGUCCUGAAGACUCCACAACGACACCAUGGAAGAUCUUUCGAGGGCAAUCGUCAGUCACGGGGUGGUUUCCGGCUUAGAACAGGACACAGUGCAGGUGCAACCACUGAACCGUCAUGCUGGCUGUUCCGAACAAGGCCUGGCAAGAACUUGGCAAGGAGUUGGCAAGGACUUGGCAAAGACCUGACAUGGACCCAGCACGGGACAGCCUGAUGCGCGGCCUGCUUCUAAUCUCCAUUCUUAAGCCAAAUGAACUUUUGGGGUGACUCCUGUGGUCCUUCAUUGAAGACCCCUCAUCUGCCUCGUUACCACUGUGACAAACAAAGAAUGAGAACCCUCCUCCCAAGGACUGAGACCCCUGCUAUAGGGAGGAGGGGAAAUUGGUGGCCUGACCACAAAUGACAUGACCUGUUUCCCUUCAGUGAUUCAAAUGGACUUAUUCUUCAUUGUAUUCGUCUUGCUUUGGUGGUUUCUGUGGACUCACCUGUUCCCUCAGGGCGAUUACAAUGGGUUUUCAUUGUUACACUUGUUCCCCCCUCUUUCCUCUGUGGACUAUAAUUGGACCCCCGAGUCGACCAGAACUUCGGAGACUCCCCCGACACGACAGACGGAUCCCCAUCGUCCGGACCACUGAGGAUCUCGCCUGUGUUGGUAGCUAUUCCCAUAUCCUUCCUCUUCUCUCUCUCUAUUCUUCUAUCUCCUUUCUGAUCCCCACUAUCGCAUUUACUGUUUUGGCCCCUAAUAAAGGUGCAUUUGUUGUGAUUAACUGA